rnacentral:lncRNA from 1 species
UUUUUUUUUGUUUUUUUGUUUUUGCUUCUGUUUAGGAAUAAAUAAUCCAUCUAGCCUCUGUUCGGAUGUGGUUUUAUGUUUUAAUUAGUGUUUGUGCCAAGAAGAACCUAUAGGAUAACCUACGAUGAUAGUUGAUUUGAUUCUGCUGAAAAACAGAAACUUCGUGCGCACGAAUAUAAUUUUGUUAAAUCACAGGAACGUGCUUUUGCGUUGAUUCUUUUUGCUGCUGUUAAAUAAACAAAUUUUCCAGGACUUCCUAUUUUGGCAACAAUACAAUAUUCUAUUUUGUCCGUUGAUUAUCCUCGUCAAUGUGAGACUUUCUCCUUUUUUGUCUUCUCCACACAAUCCCCAUCAUCAUAUUCUAUUCCACCCAUAGUGCUAUAUCCAUGGCUCACGCUCAUGUAUUGCGUGAAGGUUGAAAAAGUUUGAGAUUAUUUAAGUAUGAAACAAUUGCUUGGCUUGUCAUCUGGGGUAUAGAAGUUGGGAACAUCUUUGUGUGACGAAAAUGAAGCAUAGCCUAACUAUAUGAUUUUGUAGGGAUGAACUUUCUUUUGCCAUGCUAUUUCGUGAAGACAUGGUUGCUUUGAUUAGUAUGCUUGAAGUAUUAUUAUUUUUAUGUCAAUAUGAACUUUUGUCUUGAAUCUUUCAGAUCUGAAUAUUCAUACCACGAUUAAGAAGAUUUACAUUGAAAUUAUGCCAAAGUAUCACUCCGCAUCAAAAAUUCUUUUUUAUCAUUUACCUACUCGAGGACGAGCAGGAAUUAAGUUUGGGGAUGCCUGAUACGUCUCCAAUGUAUCUAUAAUUUUUGAUUGCUCCAUGCUACUUUAUCUACUGUUUUGGACUAUAUUGGGCUUUAUUUUCCACUUUUAUAUUAUUUUUGGGACUAACCUAUUAACCGGAGGCCCAGCCCAGAAUUGUUGUUUUUUGCCUAUUUCAGUGUUUCGAAGAAACGGAAUAUCAAACGGAGUCCAAACGGAAUGAAACCUUCGGGAACGUGAUUUUCUCACCGAACGUGAUCCAGGAGACUUGGGCCCUGCUCCAAGGAACAAAAGAGGCUGUCACGAGGGUGGGGGGCGCCCCCCUAGGGAGCGCCCCCUGCCUCGUGGCCCCCCUGUUGCUCCACUGACGUACUCCUUACUCCUAUAUAUACAUACGUACCCCCAAACAAUCAGAACAGGAGCCAAAAACCUAAUUCCACCGCCGCAACCUUCUGUAUCCACAAGAUCCCAUCUUGGGGCCUGUUCCGGAGCUCCGCCGGAGGGGGCAUCCACCACGGAGGGCUUCUACAUCAACACCAUAGCCCCUCCGAUGAAGUGUGAGUAGUUUACUUCAGACCUUCGGGUCCAUAGCUAGUAGCUAGAUGGCUUAUUCUCUCUUUUUGGAUCUCAAUACAAUGUUCUCCCCCUCUCUCGUGGAGAUCUAUUCGAUGUAAUCUUCUUUUUGCGGUGUGUUUGUUGAGACUGAUGAAUUGUGGGUUUAUGAUCCAGCUUUUCUAUGAAUACUAUUUGAAUAUUCUCCGAAUUCUUUUAUGUAUGAUUGAGUUAUCUUUGCAAGUCUCUUCGAAUUAUCCGUUUGGUUUGGCCAACUAGAUUGGUAGUUCUUGCAAUGGGAGAAGUGCUUAGCUUUGGGUUCAAUCUUGCGGUGUCCUUUCCCAGUGACAGAAGGGGCAGCAAGGCACGUAUUGUAUUGUUGCCAUUGAGGAUAACAAGAUGGGCUUUUUAUCAUAUUGCAUGAAUUUAUCCCUCUACAUCAUGUCAUCUUGCUUAAGGCGUUACUCUGUUUUUAACUUAAUACCCUAGAUGCAUGAUGGAUAGCGGUCGAUGAGUGGAGUAAUAGUAGUAGAUGCAGAAUCGUUUCGGUCUACUUGUCUUGGACGUGAUGCCUAUAUACAUGAUCAUACCUAGAUAUACUCAUAGCUAUGCUCAAUUCUAUCAAUUGCUCAACAGUAAUUUGUUCACCCACCGCAGAAUAUCUAUGCUCUUGAGAGAAGCCACUAGUGAAACCUAUGGCCCCCGGGUCUAUUCUCAUCAUAUCAAUCUCCAUUACUUUAUUACUUGCUUUGUUUUUACUUUGCCUUUUACUUUUCACUUUGCAUCUAUAUACCAAAAAUACCAAAAAUAUUAUUUAUCAUCUCUAUCAGAUCUCACUCUCGUAACUGACCGUGAAGGGAUUGACAACCCCUAAUCGCGUUGGUUGCGAGGAGCUAUCGUUUUGUGUAGGUACAAAGGACUUGUGUGUGGUCUCCUAGUGGAUUGAUACCUUGGUUCUCAAAAACCGAGGGAAAUACUUACGCUACUUUGCUGCAUCAUCCUCUCCUCUUCGGGUAAAUACAACGUAGUGCUCAAGAGGUAGCAGGGGUCCACGGCCAGCUGGCAGGGAGCGACCUCCUCUCCUUCCUCUCGUCCGACGCACGCCCGCAGAGGAGAGGAGGCAGCAGCGUGGCCGGCGCCGGCCCAGCCAUCUCCGGCCACCUCUCGCCGGAGUGAGGGCACCGGCGAGUGCAGCGAGACGUGCCGCACUCGUCUGCACCCUGCAACAGCGCCAGGAUGGAGCGGAACGACGGCGGCUUGCGGCGACCGAGAACGAGGGCGGCGACGAAACUUGGGCGCGUGGCCACAACGGCUCCGGCAAGGAAAAUAGGGAUGGGAGAGGUUCGCCGGGGUCUGGUUGAGCUACUGGUGGAGGAGGAAUGAGGGAAGGAGCUCCGGCUUGAGCCAAUCGGGGAGCAUGGCCGCAGUGGCCAUGGUGGCCAAUCGAGGAGAUGAGGUGCUCUGGAGUCGAACAGAUGGGUCGGGGAGGUUGCUGGGAGGGUGAGGAAGAGCUUGGAGCGCUCGGAGGGCUCAGGGGAGGCCUUAAAUAGGCGCGAGGCGAGGAGGCCGAGCUGGCGUCGCCGUGGAUACGUGUCCGGCGCCGCGGACGCGUGUGCCCACGCAUGAUCUCGGAGUUAGGCAACGAGAGGGGACAAGAGGGAGAGCUCACGGGGAAGAGGCGGCCAAGGGAGCAUAGGGAGGAAGACCAUGGCGACGAACCAAGCCAAAACGCGUCUGUACAUCCGUGGGCACGUGGAGGUUUACGUCGGUGAGGAAGCUGACGGAGGGGGAGAGGGGUCCAGGGGAACAGCGACGAUAAGAUGCAGCCACUGGACAUGCUCACGAGCUCUAAGACGACAAGAGGGAGCGAUGCCAAAGCACAAAUGGUGCUCUGGACACGCCACAACACACAGAGCGUGUAAAUGUGCAUGCCAGCUGCGUGGUCACCACAUGACAUGGCAUAGGGAGGUAUGUAGAGGAUGGGAAACUAUGUCUGGGAGCUAGUCCUUCCAGGGUGGAUCAUUUAUGCUGCCAUUUCUUGAUCUGGGGUGCUAUGGUUAAAUGGUAACUAAGCUCUGAAAUUUACUGCAUCAAACUUGGCAGAGCACUGCUGAUCAAUAGGGAACUGAUUGGGUCAAAUGGUGUUGUCUGGGAUGAUUAACUACGGAAGUAUUAUGAUCCUGGAGGUUUUGGAGCAUAAUGGAGCACAAAUUAAUAUAGUUGCUGUCCAAAAUUGGUCCAGAAUCAAGAUUUGAAUGACGCACUCACAUGGUGUUAUGGAAUGGGAUGCAACUUGGCAAAUCCUCAUGAUAUGGACAUAUAAAGAUGCUGUAAAAAUCUCAUGCCAAAUGGACAAGCCAAAAUGGCACUUGCUUCACAAGCAUCAUUUCUGUCCAGAAACUUGAAAUAAUUUUGGUGAUCAAAUGGAUCCAUGAAAUGAUGCCAAAUUGGGUGGAUAGAUGUUUUAUGGGUAGAAGAAUGAUCUAGUAAUUUAUCAGGAUUUUUAAGCAAUAUAAAAUACACUUGCUUCACAACCUGAAAAUAUUGCCAGAAUCAAAUAUUUGCUCCUGUGCUCACAUAGAUGAUUGGAUGAGGCCGCAAAUGGGUGGAGGGGGUUAAUAUGAGCACAUUAAGGAGUGUGCAAAAGUUUAACUCAUUUGGAUACUCCUAGCUAGUACUUCCUUCACAAAGCCUUCUGUCUGACAGAAACUUCGAAAAUUCACUGAGGAAGAUUGGCUAGGCAAAUAAAGUUGAACUUAUGCAUGAGGCAAUUAUUUGGACAUAUAAGCAUGCCCAAAAAUCUUGGGAGCCACUAGGAAAAUAUAAAUGACACUUCCUUCACAAAGUGCCAUUCAGGACAUAAAUGAAGAAUAAUUAUUGGGGAAUUAUUCUUGGGCUAGGACAGGGAAGUUUGGGCAUAUUUGAUCAACAUAUGACCCAAAGGAAUUUUGAGAAUUAAUUGGGAAUUUUUGGAUGGACAAAAAUAUGGGGUGCUUCACAACUUAGGGCAGAUAGGGUUAUUCCUUUAUUAGAAAAAGGAAUAUUCCCUAUAAAAGAUUUUAGGGUUUGGUCAAGGAGUGAAGUGACAUGAUCUUGGCAAGGUUUUGAGAAUGCUGAUCCACUUGGGAGGGGGAAUGAGGAUGAUUUCCCAGGUGGCAAGGCCACAGAACCACUUCAAAAAGAAAAACAGAGCAAAAACCAAAUAAAUCAAAAGAAAAAGAAAAGGGCCAAAAUCCAGGCUGUUACAAGAAAUUCCCACUAGUAUAUGAAAGUGAUAACAUAGGAGACUCUCUAUCAUGAAGAUCAUGGUGCUACUUUGAAGCACAAGGGUGGAAAAAGGAUAGUAACAUUGCGCCUUCUCUCUUUUCUCUCAUUUUUUUGUUUGGCUUCUUUGGCCCUUUUUUUGUUGGCUUCUUUGGUCCUUUUUAUUUUAUUUUUCCUCACAUGGGGCAAGGCUCUAAUAAUGAAGAUCAUCACACUUUUAUUUACUUACAACUCAAGAAUACAACUCGAUACUUAGAACAAAAUAUGACUCUAUAUGAAUGCCUCCGGCGGUGUACCGAGAUGUGCAAUGACUCAAGAGUGACAUGAUAAAAAUUAUGAAUGGUGGCUUUGCCACAAAUACUAUGUCAACUACAUGAUCAUGCAAAGCAAUAUGACAAUGAUGAAGUGUGUCAUAAUAAACGGAACGGUGGAAGUUUCAUGGCAAUAUAUCUCAGAAUGGCUAUGGAAAUGCCAUAAUAGGUAGGUAUGGUGGCUGUUUUGAGGAAGGCAUAAGGUUGGUGUACAGUACCGGCGAAAGUUGCGGUACUAGAGAGGCUAGCAAUGGUGGAAGGAUGAGAGUGUGUAUAAUCCAUGGACUCAACAUUAGUCAUAACGAACUCACAUACUUAUUGCAAAAAUCUAUUAGUCAUUGAAACAAAGUACUAAGCGCAUGCUCCUAGGGGGAUAGAUUGGUAGGAAAAGACCAUCACUCGUCCCCGACCGCCACUCAUAAGGAAGACAAUCAAUAAAUAAAUCAUGCUCCAACUUCGUUACAUAAUGGUUCACCAUACAUGCAUGCUACGGGAAUCACAAACUUUAACACAAGUAUUUCUACAAUCCAAAAUUACUCACUAGCAUGACUCUAAUAUCACCAUCUUUAUAUCUCAAAACAAUCAUAAGGAAUCAAACUUCUCAUAGUAUUCAAUGCACAUAAUAUGAAAGAUUUUAUUAUAUCCCUCUUGGAUUCCCAUCAUAUUAGGUCUAAAUUCAUAACCUAAGCAAAUUACCAUGCUGUUUAAAUACUCUCAAAAUAAUACAAGUGAAGCAUGAGAGUUCAUCAAUUUCUUCAAAAUAAAACCACCGCCGUGCUCUAAAAAGAUAUAAGUGAAGCACUAGAGCAAAUGACAAACUACUCCAAAAGAUAUAAGUGAAGAUCAAUGAGUAGUCGAAUAAUUAUGUACUAUGUGAAGACUCUCUAACAUUUAAGAAUUCCAGAUCUUGGGAUAUUAUUCAAACAACAAGCAAAUCAAAAUAAAGUGACAUUCCAAGUAUAGCACAACCAAUGUAAAGAAGCAAAAACUUAGGCUCAACCGAGGCUAACCGAUAAUUGUUGAUGAAGAAAGGUGGGAUGCCAACCGGGGCAUCCCCAAGCUUAGAUGGUUGAGGCUUCUUGAAAUAUGAAUUAAGGAUGCCUUGGGCAUUCCCAAUCUUGAGCUUUUGUGUCUCCUUAAUUCCUCUCGUAUCGUAGUUUCCCGGAAUCUUAAAAACUUCAUGCACACAAAACUCAACAAGGACUCGUGAGAUAAGUUAGUAUAAACCAAUGGAAAACCUUAUCAUUCUCUACUGUAGAAAUUCACUAAAAUUAUAAUUUGACAUUUCAUACUAAAUGCCUCUGCAUAUUUAAUACUCCUAUCCUCAAAUAGAAUAAUUAAACAAGCAAACAUAUGCAAACAAUGCAAGCAUAACAGCAAUAUGUCUAGACAGAAUUGUCUGUAAAGAAUGCAAGAGGAAUCAUACUUCCCUAACUCCAAAAAUUCUGAAAAAUUACCACACUGUAGGAAAUUUUUUGUUACUCAUUGAGUAAAAAUUUCAAGAUUUUAUCAUGUUCUAACUAUUCAUGAAUAUUUAAAACAUAAGAGCAAACUUUCUGUUUUCAAACAUCUACACAUAGACUUGCAAAAUAAGCAUGGUAAAGGCUAUACUUGACAUUUUUAUUGAAAUAAAGAUGCAAAACAUUACUCUAAAUAACAGCAAGCAAAUACUAAUAAAAGAAAAUGAUGCUCCAAGCAAAACCCUUAUCAUGUGGUGAAAAAUAUAGCUCCAAGUAAGGUUACCGAUGAACGAAGAUGAAAGAGGGGAUGCCAUCUGGGGCAUCCCCAAGCUUAGGCUCUUGGUUGUCCGUGAAUAUUACCUUGGGGUGCCUUGUGCAUCCCCAAGCUUAGGCUCCUGCCACUCCUUAUUCUGUAGUCCAUCAAAACAUUACCCAAAACUUGAAAACUUCACAACAGAAAACUCAACAGAAAACCCAUAAGCUCCGUUAGUAUAAUAAAGCAAAUCUCCACUUAGGUACUGUUGUGAACUCAUUCUAAAUUUAUAUUCGUGUUAUAUCUACUGUAUUCCAACUUCGCCAUGGUUCAUACCCUCCGAUACUACCCAUAGAUUCAGGAAAAUAAGCAAACAACACAAAGAAAAUAGAAUUUGUCAAAAAUAGAACAGUCUGUAGUCUCCCAACAAGCGCUUUUCUUUAAUGCCUUUUUAGCUAGCAUGAUGAUUUCAAUGAUGCUCACAUAAAAGAUAAGAAUUGAAACACAAGGAGAGCAUCAUGAAGCAUAUGACUAGCACAUUUAAGUCUAACCCACUUCCUAUGCAUAGGUAUUUUGUGAGCAAAUAACUUAUGGGAACAAGAAUCAACUAGCAUAGGAAGGUAAAACAAGCAAAACUUCAAGAUUUUCAACACAUAGAGAGGAAACUUGAUAUUAUUGCAAUAUGUAGAAGCAUGUGUUCCUCUCUCAUAAUAAUUUUCAGUAGCAUCAUGAAUGAAUUCAACAAUAUAACCAUCACAUAAAGCAUUACUUUCAUGAUCCAUAAGCAUAGAAAUUUUACUACUCUCCGCAUAAGCAAAACUCUUCUCAUUCGGAAUAGUGGGAGUAUCAUAAGAAACUCGAAUACUAUAAAUUGUUUCCACACUAAAAGAAUAAUGUUACAAAAAAGGGUAAUCAUAAUUAUGACAAGCUUUAUAAAUAUAAUCAUCACUCUUUUUUGUAACAUAAGUGUCAUCACAAUAAUCAUCAUAAGUAGCAACUUUGUUCUCAUCAUAAUCAAUUGAAAACUCUUCCAAGAUAGUGGAAUCAUUACUAAAUAAAGUCAUAACCUCUUCAAAUCCACUUUUACCAUUAUAAUAAGAUUUAACACCCUCCAAAAUAGUGGGAUAAUUAUUAUCUAAAGUUGACACUCUUCUGAACCCACUUUCAUAAAUAUUGCAAUCAUCAUAAAUAGGAGGCAUGCUAUCAUCAUAAUAGAUUUGCACAUCAAAACUUGGGGGACUAAAAAUUUCAUCUUCAUUAAACAUAGCAUCCCCAAGCUUGGGACAAACAUUAAUUGUAGCAAAUAAAUUCUCAAACAUGUCAUUCUCACAAACAUAGCAUCCCCAAGCUUGUGCUUGUGGUUUUGCAUAUCAUUAGCAUCAUGGAUAUUCAAAGAAUUCAUACUAACAACAUUGCAAUCAUGCUUAUCAUUCAAAGAUUUAGUGCCAAACAUUUUAUAAACUUCUUCUUGUAACUCCUGAGCACAAUUAUCCUUUCCAUCAUUUUAACGAAAGACAUUAAAAAGAUGAAUCAUAUGAGGCAACCUCAAUUCCAUUUUUUGUAGACUAAACUAGUGAUAAAACAAGAAACUAAAAUAUUCGAUUGCAAGAUCUAAAGAUCUACCUUCAAGCACUAACCUCCCUGGCAACGACGCCAGAAAAGAUCUUGAUGUAUACUAUGCAACUUUAUCCUUGUAGACGUUGUUGGGCCUCCAAGUGCAGAGUUUUGUAGGACAGUAGCAAAUUUCCCUCAAGUGGAUGACCUAAGGUUUAUCAAUCUGUGGGAGGCGCGGGAUGAAGAUGGUCUGUCUCAAACAACCCUACAACCAAAUAACAAAGAGUCUCUUGUGUCCCCAACACACCCAAUACAAUGGUAAAUUGUAUAGGUGCACUAGUUUGGCGAAGAGAUGGUGAUACAAGUGCAAUAUGGAUGGUAGAUAUAGGUUUUUGUAAUCUGAAAAUAUAAAACAGCAAGGUAGAAACUGGUAAAAGUGAGCGAAAACGGUAUUGCAAUGCUUGAAAACAAGGCCUAGGGUUCAUACUUUCACUAGCGCAAGUUCUCUCAACAAUGAUAACAUAAUUAGAUCAUAUGGCAAUCACUCAACAUGCGACAAAAGUCUCCAAAGUUCCUAUCACGGGGAACAUAAGAUGAAAUUGCUUGUAGGGUACGAAACCACCUCAAAGUUAUUCUUUCCGAUCAAUCCAUUGAGCUAUUCCUAUAAGUGUCACAAAAAGCCCUAGAGUUCGUAGUAAAAUGACACGAUAUGACACACAUCAAUCAACCCUAAUAUCACCUAGAUACUCCAAUGUCACCACAAGUACCCGUGCGUCAAUUAUAUGAUAUGCAUCAAACAACUUCAGAUUCAUAAUAUUCAAUCCAACAUAAAGAACCUCAAAGAGUGCCCCACGAUUCCUACUAGAGAAACAAGCACGAAAACGUGCAUCAACCCCUAUGUAUAGAUUACCCCAAUGCCACCUCGGGAAUCCACGAGUUGAGUGCCAAAACAUACAUCAAGUGAAUCAAUAGAACACCCCAUUGUCACCAUGGGUACCCCACGCAAGAAAUACAUCAAGUGUUCUCAAAUCCAUAAUAGUAUUCAAUCCAAUAAUAGUGAAACCUCAAAGGUAAAACUCAAUUCAUCACAAGAACGUAGAGGGGGAGAAAGACCAUAUGAUUCAACUAUAGUAACAAAGCUCACGGUACAUAAAGAUCGUGCCAAAUCAAGAACAUGAGAGAGAGAGAGAGAGAUAUCAAACACAUAGCUACUGGUACAUACCCUCAGCCCAGAGGGUGAACUACUCCCUCCUCGUCAUGGAGAGCGCCGAGAUGAUGAAGAUGGCCACCGGUGAUGGUUUCCCCCUCCGGCAGGGUGGGUCCACGAGUUAGUGACACGGUAGGGGGCACGCCCUAGGGGGGGCGCCCUCCACCCUUGUGGUUGACUCGGGACUCUUCUGGCCAAACUCUUGUGCUUCGGGGGCUUCUUCUGGUCCACAAAAAAUCACCGUAAAAUUUCAGCUCGUUUGGACUCCGUGUGAUGUUCCUUUUCUGCAAAACUCAAAAACAAGGAAAAAACAAAAACUGGCACUAGGCUCUAGUUUAACAGGUUAGUCCCAAAAAUAAUAUAAAAGAGCAUAUAAAUGCAUAUAAAACAUCCAAGAUGGAUAACAUAAUAGCAUGGAACAAUAAAAAAUUAUAGAUACGUUGGAGAUGUAUCGGAUGAUGACUCAACAUAUAAGUAAAUAGAUAGGCCCUUCGCAGAGGGAAGUUGGGAUUUGCAGAGGUGCUGGAGCUCGAGCUUUUAAAACAGAGAUGAAUAUAAUUUUGAGCGGUAUGCUUCAUUGUCAACAUAAAAACCAAGAUACCUCACUAUCUUUCAUGCUAGAUACAUUAUAGGCGGUUCCCAAACAGAAUGGUAAAGUUUUUACUCCCCCUCCACCAACAAUCACACUCCACGGCUGAUCCAAAACAACGGGUACCAUCCAUACCAACAACACUAUCUUUCAUGGGGGAGUUUUGUUUGAUAUUUAUAUUUUGAUUUGAUUUAAGCAUGGAACUGGGCAUCCCGAUUACCAGCCACUUUCUUGUGAAUGACAAGUGAAUAAACACUCAUUGUGAGAAUAACCCACCUAGCAUGGAAGAUACUAACAACCCCCAGUCGCCACAUGAGCGAUUCGGGCAUACAAAACAUAUUAUUAUUUGAAGGUUUAGAGUUUGGCACAUGCAAAUUUACUUGGAAUGGCAGGUAAAUACCGCAUAUAGGUAGGUAUGGUGGACUCAUAUGGAACAACUUUGGGUUUAAGGAAGUGGAUGCACAAGCAGUAUUCCCGCUUAGUACAAGUGAAGGCUAGCAAAAGAUUGAGGAAAGACCAACUAGAGAGCAAGAAUGGUCAUAAACAUGCAUUGAGAUUAACUAACAUUGAAUGCAAGCAUGAGUAGGAUAUAAAUCAUCAUGAACAUAAAUAUCGUGGAGGCUAUGUUGUUUUUGUUUCAACUACAUGCGUGAACAUGUGCCAAGUCAAGCCACUUGAAUCAUUCAUAGGAGGAUACCAUCCUAUCAUACUACAUCAUAACCAUUUUAAAAGCAUGAUGGCACUCAAGAUAAACCAUUAUAAAACUCCUAGCUAAUUAAGCAUGGCAUGAGUAACUAUAGUCUCUAAUUGUCAUUCCAAACAUGUUUCAUUCAUAAUAGGCUGAAUCAAGAACGAUGAGCUAAUCAUAUUUACAAAAACAAAAUAGGUCGAGUUCGUACCAGAUUUUCUCCAUCUCAAUCAUUUCAUCAUAUAUCGUCAUUAUUGCCUUUCACUUGCACAACCGAACGGUGUGAAUAAUAACAAGAGUGCAUGUGCAUUGGACUAAGUUGGAACCUGCAAACAUUUAUUCAAAGGAGAAGACAAGGUAAUAUGGGCUCUCUGUUAGAUCAACAAUAAUGCAUAUGAGAGCGACUCAACAUUUUCAUCGCGGUCUUCUCCUUACGACCCAAAGAAAAAGAAAAGAAUUUCAAAGAAACACACUAAAAUAUUUUGGAGUUUUUGUUUUUCUGAAGAAAGAAAAAACAGAACGAGAAAAACUAUUUACACGGGAAAGCUCCCAACAAAUUAAACAAAAGAAGAGUGAGAAAUCUUUUUGGGUUUUCUGUUAAUGCUACUACUAAACAAAUUAGAAAGAAAACUAAAAAGAAGCGACAACUAAUUUUUUGCAUUUUCUCAAAGUUUUUCAAACACACGAGAAGAAAGCAAGAAAAAGAAACUAACAUGGGUAAUACAAUUAAAAAGUAUGAACACCGACAACAGAAAUGAGUGUGUGAACAUGAAUGUAUGUCGGUGAGAAAUACAUACUCCCCCAAGCUUAGGCUUUUGGCCUAAGUUGGUCUAGGGCCACGGCUGGCCUGGAUAGUAUCCAAAACCGUAGUUGGGUUGGAAUGGGAUGCUGCAGCUACUGCCUGAAGGGCUGUAGCAUGGAGUCGAGCAGACUCCACCUCUCUCUCAUACUUGUCUACCUCCUCUCUGGUUAUGAAGUAUCUUCGUUUUACCCAAAAAGUUAAAGAAGGCAGGAGCGGGAAGCGUAAUACGGACAUCACGCUGCCGGUCAAAGAUCAAUCGGUACAGGAGGGACUGUUCGUUCCUCUCAAGAAACUGGUAGCGUACCAUAGCAUUAUAAUCAAGGAAAGCAGGUUGUAACUCAAUGUCAUCCUCCCUUAUGGGUACCCCAAGAUAAUUAGCUAAAUGGGUGGCAUAAAUCCCACCAAAGAAAUCUCCAUCUUUAGCAUUAUUACGUAACCUCCUUGCAAUAAUAGCCCCCAAGUUAUAUCGUCUAUCACCCAUUACCGCACACUUGAGGACACUAAGAUCUGAUGCACAAAGGUGGCUAUGAUCAUGUUUACCAUUAAUGCAUCUUCCUAUAAAGAGAGCAAAAUAAUGUACGGCAGGAAAGUGAAUGCUCCAUAUGGUGGCUUGUGUAAUAUUUCUAGUUUCUCCCACCGUGAUGCCAGCAAGGAAAUCAUUAAUUCUCAGUUUUACGAGGUUCACUAUGAAUGCCCCACUGUGGAAUUUUGCAUGCAUCGUUAAAAUCUUCUAGGUCCAUGGUAAAUGAUUUAUCAUAAAGAUCAAAUAGAACAGAAUGAGUGUUGCGCUGGGAUGUAAACUUAAAUCUUUGCACAAAUAAAUUAGUGAGGUGAUAGUACUGCCGACACUUAUCUGACACGAAGUCUUCUAGGCCAGCAUUUUGCACGUAUGCAUCAAACUACUCCUUGAAACCUGCAUGAACCAUGAACUGAUCCAACGGCCAUUCGCAAGGCCGUACUAGCACUUCCCUUGGUGGUUCAAGGUCUGGCUCACGUAUCGCGAGCCAUGGUGCUUGCUUCCUCGAGGAACCACUUUGGUAUAUCUUCCUAAACAUUUUUCUUCCUUUGAAAAAUUUCUAAAUUUUUUAGUAGCUCAAAAUAAAAGUGAACGAAACUCAAAGAAAUUGAUAGCAACUAGUCCCACAAGUUCCUAGAGGCUAUAUCAUGCAUAAAAACUACUUUGGACCAUAUAAAUUUGACAUGCAAGCUCAAGAACAAGGUCACCACAACAGCAAAAAUUUGCAAUAUAUAAAGCACUAUAACAAAAAGUAAUUGGACCAUUGGAGGAGUCACAUACCGAUGACCAAUCCCCCAAAACAGCUUUCCAAAUGGAGCUUUGUACAAGGAGAUCGAAAAUGGCAGCAUGAUGAACUAGAACACAAGUUUUUAGCAACGGGAUGAUUUUUCUGGAGGAAGACGAAGUGGAUGGGUGCUGGAAUAAGUGAGGGGGCCCACAUGGGGCCCACAAGCCACCCAGGCAUGCCCUAUGGGCUUGUGGCCCACUAGUGCUGCCCCCUGGUGUGUUCUCAGUGCCAAAAAUUCUAAAAUAUUCUAUAAAAAAGCAUACUAAAUUUUCAGGGAAUUUGGAGAACUUUUAUUUUUGGGACAUUUUUUAUUGCGCGGAUAAUUCAGAAAAUAGACGAAUAAUGGUAUUUUUGCUUUAUUUGUUCUAAAUAACAGAAAGUAAAAGGUGGGUACAGAAAGUUAUGUUUACUAAAUUCAUCCAUCUCAUGCCCAUCAAAAGGGAUCCAUUAACAAGGUUGAUCAAGUCUUAUUAACAAACUUCUUCCAAAUGACAUGAAACCGGAGAAUCUUCGUAUAAUACUAUGUUACCUCAACGGGGAUAUGCAUGUCCCCAAUCAAUGAGAAUAUCAUAUUUAUUUUUGACAGUAGGAAUAGGGAAUUUAAAACCUCCAAUAGCAAUCGUUGAAAUUUUUCCAAUUGAAUUGAUACUAUGAACUUGAGGUUGUUUCUUCGCAAAGUGUACCAUAUGCUCAUUACCAUUAACAUGAAAAGUGACAUUGCCUUUGUUGCAAUCAAUAACAACCCCCGAAGUAUUCAAAAAGGGUCUACCAAGGAUGAUUGACAUGUUGUCGCCCUCAGGAAUAUCAAGAAUAACAAAGUCCGUUAAUAUAGUAACAUUUGCAACCACAACAGGCACAUCCUCACUAAUACCGAUGGGUAUAGCAGUUGAUUUAUCAACCAAUUGCAAAGAGAUUUCAAUAGGUGUCAACUUAUUCAAAUCAAGUCUACGAUAUAAAGAGAAAUGCAUAACACUAACACCAGCUCCAAGAUCACAUAAAGUAGUUUUAACAUAGUUUCUUUUAAUGGAGCAUGAUAUAGUUGGUAUUCCUGGAUCUCUGAUACAUCUCCAUCGUAUCUACUUUUCCUAAUGCUUUUCCUCUUGUUUUGGACUCUAAUUUGCAUGAUUUGAAUGAAACUAACCCGGACUGAUGCUGUUUUUAGCAGAACUACCAUGGUGUCGUUUUUGUGGAGAAAUAAAAGUUCUCGGAUUGGAACGAAACUUUGCAAGGAUUUUUUAUUCAAUAAAUAAGAAUUUCUGGAGCCAAGAACCACCGGAGAGGGGCACCUGGGUGGGCACAAACCACCAGGGCGCCCUACCUCCGGGCGCGCCCAGGUGGGUUGUCCCCACCUGGAGGCCCCGCAGGCCUCAACCCUCAUACUAUAAAAUCACAUGUUUGGAGAAAAAAAUUAGGGUGGGCGAAUUAUCGUGUUUCACGAGACAGAGCCACCGCCACCUCCUGUUCUUCAUCGGGAGGCAAGAUCUAGAGUCCGUUUGGGGCUCCGGAGAGAGGGAUCUUCGAUCUUCGUCAUCACCAACCCUUCUCCAUCGCCAAUUCCAUGAUGCUCCCCAGCGAGAGUGAGUAAUUCCUUCGUAGGCUCGCUGGUCGCUGAGGAGUUGGAUUAGAUUCAUCAUGUAAUCGAGUUAGUUUUGUUAGGGCUUGAUCCCUAGUAUCCAUUAUGUUUUGAGAUUGAUGUUGUUAUGACUUUGCCAUGCUUAAUGCUUGUCACUUUGGGCCCGGGUGCCAUGAUUUCAGAUCUGAACCGUUUAUGUUAUCACCAUUAUAUCUACAUUCUAGAUCCGAUCUUGCAAGUUAUAGUCACCUACUACAUGUUAUGAUCCGGCAACUCCAGAGUGACAAAAGUCGGGACACUUCCCGGUGAUGACUGUAGUUUGAGGAGUUCAUGUAUUCACUAUGUGUGUUAAUUCUUUGUUCCGGUUCUCUAUUAAAAGGAGGCCUUAAUAUCCCUUAGUUUCCGAUUGGACCCCGCUGCCACGGGAGGGUCGGACAAAAGAUGUCAUGCAAGUCCUUUCCAUAAGCACGUAUGACUAUUUACGGAAUACAUGCCUACAUUAUAUUUAUGAACUGGAGCUAGUGCCGUAUCGCCCUAGGUUAUGACUGUUAUAUGAUGAAUAUCAUCCAACGAAUCCACCGAUCCAAUGCCUACAAAUUUCUCUCAUAUUGUUCCUGCUAAGUUACUACUGCUACUGUUACUAUUGCACUUGUUACAAAUUCACUGCUAUCACUGUUACCGUUACUAUUUCUAUUGCUACUACUAUCAAAACUAUCAUACUACUUUGCUACUGAUCACUUUGCUGCAGAUAAUUAAUCUCCAGGUGUGGUUGAAUUGACAACUCAGCUGCUAAUACUUGCAAAUAUUCUUUGGCUCCCUGAUACAUCUUCAACGUAUCUAUAAUUUUUGAUUGUUCCAUGCUAUUAUAUUAUCCAUCUUGGAUGUUUUAUAUGCAUUUAUAUGCUAUUUUGUAUGAUUUUGGGGCUAACCUAUUAACCUAGAGCCCAAUGUCAGUUUCUGUUUUCUCCUUGUUUUUUAGUUUCGCAGAAAAGGAAUAUCAAACGGAGUCCAAAUGAGCUGAAAAUUUACGGUGAUUUUUUUAUGGACCAGAAGAAGCCCCCGAAGCAAAAGAGUUGGGCCAAAAGAGCCACGAGGCAUCCACAAGGGUGGAGGGUGCACCCCCUCCCUAGGGCGCGCCCCCUGCCUUAUCGCUGACUCGUGGAACCCCCUCACGUGAAACCAACGCCAAAAAUUCCUAUCAAUCCAGAAACCCCCGGAAAGAAACCUAGAUCGCGAGUUCCGCAGCCGCAAGCCUCUGUAGCCACGAAAAACCAAUCGGGAGCCCGUUCCGGCACCCUACCGGAGGGGGAAGCCAUCAUCGGUGGCCAUCUUCAUCAUCCCGGCGCUCUCCAUGACGAGGAGGGAGUAUUUCACCCUCGGGGCUGAGGGUAUGUACUAGCAGCUAUGUGUUUGAUCUCUCUCUCUCUCUCUCGUGUUCUUGAUUUGGCACAAUCUUGAUGUACCGCGAGCUUUGCUACUAUAGUUGAAUCCUAUGGUGUUUCUCCCCCUCUAUCUUCUUGUGAUGAAUUGAGUUUUACCUUUGAGGUUUCACUAUUAUCGGAUUGAAUACUCUUAUGGAUUUGAGAACACUUGAUGUAUGUCUUGCAUGGGAUACCCGUGGUGACAAUGGGGUAUUCUAUUGAUUUACUUGAUGUAUGUUUUGGCACUCAACUCGCGGAUUCCCGAAGUGACAUUGGGGUAAUCUAUGCAUAGGGGUUGAUGCACGUUUUCGUCCUUGUUUCUCUGGUAGAAAUCUUGGGGCACCCUUUGAGGUUCUUUGUGUUGGAUUGAGUAUUAUGAAUCCGAAGUUGAUUUAUGCAUAUCGUAUAAUUGACCCACAGAUACUUGUGGUGACAUUGGAGUAUCUAGGUGACAUUAGGGUUGAUUGAUGUGUGUCAUAUGGUGUUAUUUUAUUACUGACUCUAGGGCUGUUUGUGAUACUUAUAGGAAUAGCUCAAUGGAUUGAUCGGAAAGAAUAACUUUGAGGUGGUUUCGUACCCUACAAGCAAUUUCAUCUUAUGUUCUCCGCGGUAGGAACUUUGGAGUGACUUUUGUCGCACAUUGAGGGGUUGUUAUAUGAUUCAAUUAUGUUACCAUUGUUGAAACUUGCACUAGUGAAAGUAUGAACCCUAGGCCUUGUUUCCAAGCAUUGCAAUACAGUUUUUGCUCACUUUUGUUACUAGUUACCUUGCUGUUUUUAUAUUUUCAGAUUACAAAAACCUAUAUCUACCAUCCAUAUUACACUUGUAUCACCAUCUCUUCGCCGAACUAGUGCACCUAUACAAUAUACCAUUGUAUUGGGUGUGUUGGGGACACAAGCGACUCUUUGUUAUUUGGUUGCAGGGUUGUUUGAGAGAGACCAUCUUCAUCCUAUGUCCCACGGACGAUACACCUUAGGUCAUCCACUUGAGGGAAAGUUGCUACUAUCCUAAAAAACUCUGCGCUUGGAGGCCCAACACGAGUCUACAAGAAGAAGGUUGCAUAGUAGACAUCACUCCCCUUUUGUUGAAUCAAUGAAUUUGGGUUCAAUACUCUACCCUUGAAAACGGUUGCGAUCCCCUAUACUUGUGGGCUAUCAAGACCUUUUUCUGGCGCCGUUGCCAGGGAGCGUAGCUAUAUUUGUUGAGUCACUUGGGAUUAUUAUCAAAUUAUCCCUAUGAAGAAUCUGAAGGACGCUAAGACUAAUAUUUUUCUCUCCAAGACGAGGGAAGGUAAGGACUUGCCAUCUAGCUCUGCACUUGAUUCACCUUCUAUUAUAAGUAAACUUGCAACACCCCCACAUGCUAUUAAUCCUGAUAUGUCGCAAGUUACUGAUGAUGCUACUUCUGCUAUGAAUGAUAUUUAUGAGGAUGCUAGUACCUUGCUUGAUGAUAAUGUGCCACUAGGUGAAUUUCUUGAUGAAUAACUUGGUAUAACUAAAGCUUUUGAGAAUGCUGAAACUGAUGAAGAGCUUGAAAAUGAAAAUCUUGAAACACAUAUUAGACCUAGUUCUCCUAGAUAUGAAUUGCUAAAGGUACCGGAAGGUUAUGUUAUGGAUGAGGAGACAACUAGAGACAUUCUUGCUUGUAAAGAUAUAGAUGAUCUGGAAAAAUUAUUAUGCAAGUAUAAAGAAAAGACUUUGAAUGCUAAAAUGAAAUGUGAUCCUCAGUUUGCAACCUCACUAUAUUUGUUGAUGAUAAGGAUUAUGAAUUCUUUGUUGACCCAUAAUUAAUUACUUUGGUUGAAUCUGAUCCUUUCCAUGGUUAUGAAUUUGAAACUGUUGUAGCACAUCUUACUAAGUUGAAUGACAUAGCCACCCUUUUUGCUCAUGAUGAGAAGAUUCACUAUUACUAUAUCCGCAAAUUAUUUCCGUUCUCAUUAAAGGGUGAUGCUAAUUAAGACUUGGUAUAACACUCUUGCUCCUGGUUGUGUGCAUAGUCCCCAGGAUAUGAUUUGUUACUUCUCUUAAAAAUAUUUCCAUGCUCAUAAGAAACAAGCUGCCUUGCAGGAAAUAUUUAACUUUGUGCAAAUUGAAGAAGAAAGUCUCCCACAAGCUUGGGGGGAGGCUUCUCCAAUUGCUUAAUGCUUUGCCUGAUCAUCCUGUUGAGAAAAAUGAAAUACUUGAUAUCUUCUAUAAUGGACUAACCGAUGCUUCUAGGGAUUUCCUAGAUAGUUGUGCUGGUUAUAUUUUCAGGGAACGAACUGUUGGUCAAGCUGAAGAAUUAUUGAAUAAUAUAUUAAAAAAUUAUGAUGAUUGGACUCUUCUUGAACCACCAUUCAAACCUACUACGAAGAAGAGGGGUAUCUUAUAUCUCAGUCCUGAAGAAAUGCAAGAGGCAAAGAAAUCUAUGAAGGAAAAAGGUAUUCAAGCUGAGGAUGUCAAAAAAUUACCUCCUAUUGAAGAAAUACAUGGGCUUGAUACACCACCACCACCUAAGGUGGUAGAGGUAAACUCUUUAAUGAAAUUCAAUGACAAUGACAAUCCUCAAAAUAUGCAUCCUAGUCAAUGCCUUUCUGAGUUUGAAAAUUACAUUAGAAAACAAGAUCACUUCAAUGCAAAUGUUAUGAAACAACUGAAAUACAAUUCCGAUAUGAUUGCUCGCUUAAGUGACUUGUUAUUUAGUAUCUCAAAUGAUAUUAGAGGUGUAAGAAAGCAUGCCUCUAUGGGUCAAACUCAAUUAGAACAAGUUGCUAAAUCUCAAAUAGAGUUGCUUGAUGAAAUGAAUAAUAAUAUAAAUGACUUUGCUGUUAGAGUAGCAACUAGAGGAUGUAAAAUGACUCAGGAACCACUUUAUCCCAGGGGACACCCAAAAAUAAUUGAACAAGACUCGCAAAGAGUUAACACUGAUGCACCUAGUCCUUCUAAAAAGAAAAAGAAGAAGAAAAAUGAUAGGACUUUGCAUGCCUCUAGUGAACCUGAAGUAGAAAAACCUCCUAAUAAUGAUAAUGAAGUCUCUAUCUCUAAUGCUGAAACUCAAUCUAGUAGUGAACACUCACCCUCUGAUAAUGUCGUGGACUUAACACGACAGAUGCCCUAGCGAAAGGACUUAGGUGUGGAGCGAUCGCAACUAGGUUAGCUUGAAGGGGCUAAUUGGGACAAAGGAUACAGAGAGUUUAUACUGGUUCGUUCCCUCGCAACGAGGUAAAGGCUUACUCCAGUUUGGGGUUGUAUUGCUUGGGUUUCGAUUACCAGGGGGCGAAUAUGCUUGACCUAGUUCUCGAUCUCUUGUUUCUUGCCUUAACCCACCACCGGGUCACCCCUUUAUAUACACAGGUUGAUGCCCGGCGGCUUAUAGAGUCCCAGUCGGCUCAUACACAACGUGUCUGGCUCGGUGACUAACUAAGCUUUCCUUACAAUACAAGUUACAUAUAUGGCGGUUCAUACCCAUGGGCCUCAAGUUACCUCCGGGUCUUAGGCUUUCAAUAAGCUUCCUCUAUGGACCGCCAUCCUCAUCAUCCUCUUGGGCCUUCUCUUCUUAAGCCGCCAGUGGCAUGACCCGGCCCCUCCUGGGCGGGUCAUACCCAAUAGUUAUAUCCCCAACAUUAGGCCCCAGGUUGAUUUGAACUUGUUCACAUCAAUCUUCAAUACUUGACUUAGCAGAAUCUUGCAUCAUCAGUUUUUAUGGACUUGCUAUAACCCGCCAUGACAUCAGCUCACAGAAUCAUGUUAAACCGCCAUGAUAUCAUCUUGCAUUAACUUCGCACGAAGCUCAGAACAUCUCAACAGAUCUUUGUCUUUAAUGGACUUUCCGAAAUUCGAGGCGCCCGUGCAACCACAUAAUCACUUUUUGGCCUCCUCGAUUCCCGUGCAUGCUUGUUAUCCAUCUCCUCAUAAAUAGGGACAGGGGUCCUAUUCAUUUCCCCCUUGCCUCCUUGCCUUCAUCCUCUUCUCCGCAACGCCACGCACGCGCUCGAGCUACGCCGUUGUCGACCUCGUCAACUUCCUCAACUCCGGCCACUGCAUCAACUUAAACAAACCAGAGCAUCGCGGCGUACCUCUGCUGUCCAGCAGCAUCCGUAAGCACUUCUUCUUCCUCGUAACAGAUCUUCAUUAGGGUUAGUCCUAGUUCAUCGGAGUUCCCCUCUGUUCUUCUUUGGUCUUCUCUAGAUUGCACGGUUGAAUCUGAAAAAGCUAUCGAAAACAUGCGGUAGCAGCGUAGCAUCCCUUUGUCCAACUGCAAUAGGUAUUUUUUCUGUAUCAGAUCCAUCCGAACACAGGUGUUCUUCCACUGCCUUCACUUUAGGUAUAAAAUUUAUUUUAUUUUCCAAACUGUUGUAGAUCCAAAAUCGUAGCGUCGAUCUGUAGAAUAUGUUUGUCCGCUACUUAGCAAACCCUCACUUGUAGAUCUGAAACAUAGCAACUGUUUGGGCGGCUUAACCAAUAAACCAUAACCCGCCAGGUACCAUUAGUCCCCUUUUAAGCCGCCAAUAUGAAUAUCCGCAUACUUCAGUGUUCAUCUUCUGGCUUAAUGCAUUGGCCUUUUAUAGCACUUUUCUUUUGAAUCAAUGGUCCGACUUAGUAGCUUAAUCUUAAACCGGCAAUAUUUCUUUCUUUUAGGCCUUCAUCCUCAAAAUUCCUAAGAUUAUCACUGCAUGCAACUGGGUCAUUUCCCGAGUCACCGAGGAAGAAUUGAACGAAUAUGUUCAAACAGGCGUCCUGGCCCAAAAAGAUGUCAUCCAUUGGAGGGUCCCAGGCACAGAAACCCCUCCCGAGCCUAAGGACGGUGAAGUUAUUGUCUUCACUGAUCAUAUGCUCCGGGAUUUUAGCCCUCCCGGCUCAAAAUUCUUCCAUGAUGUGCUGGAUUUUUUCAAGCUCCAUCCUCAAGAUAUCGGACCAAAUUCUAUUUCAAACAUCUGCAACUUUCAAGUGUUCUGCGAGGUGUACCUUCAACAGGAGCCCACCGUAGAACUAUUCAGGGAAUUUUAUUAUUUAAACCGGCAGACCAAGUUCAUAGACGGGCCCAGCCUAGAGUUAGGUGGCAUUUUAAUUCAGAGACGGAAAGAAGCCACUUUCCCAGCCGCCACACUACCUAGUCAUCCUAAGGAUUGGAACUAAACUUGGUUUUAUUGCCAAGAAACUUCUCCAGAAGGGGAAAAUCCUCUGCCGGGUUACCGUGCCAGCCGGCUUAGCAAUAGGCAUCCUCUUCCAGAACGCAUCAGCAAAAAGGAACGGGCCAAAUAUGCGCCCAUUUUUUCAAAAAUCAGAGCCUUCAUGGCUAACGGUUUAACCGGCAUCGACCUUGUCCGAUGAUGGUUUCAUGGAGGAUAUUGCCCCUAAGCCGCGGACCCGGCUUAAUGUGUGAAUACACCGGCAAUUUGAAAGAUCCGCUUCGCCAUUGCCAGACAGAGAUAACUGAAGAUGACAUCAAUAAUAUGACCAAGUCUCUACUGAAUGAGAGUCUGGGAGACUGUAGCAAAGCUGGACCGAAUCCUCUCUGCGUUCUCAAUCAACCGCCAGUUGUAAGGUUUUAAGCUAUUUCCGGUUUAAGCAUUUUCUUUCAUUUAAACUGUCUUCUCAUAAUCCACUUCAUUUGCGUAGGCUGAUUCUCCUUUCUGGAAGAAGUUAGAUAAGCCGGUCAAGAAGACCCAGACAAAGAGCAAAGCUACCAAAAAGCAUGCCAAGAAGAAAACCAACCCCUCCGAGUUAUUUAACUUGGACGACAAUGAUGAUGACGAUGAUGAUAAUGAGUCGGAGGUAGAACUUGACUCUCUUGGCUCAUUUUUUAUACAUCUUAUUGACAAUGAUUACUAUCAGGACGACACGGAGGCCAGCCGUGCAGAUGUUGAAGAGGUAACCCUCAUUUCCUCCGACCCAGAGAGUUUAUCAAGACAAAGAACUCGAAAAGUGAGCCGAAAAGUAAGGUUUUCUCACCCUUUAGCUUACUUAGAUCCAAACUUUAUUUUGAAGCAACAACAACACGAGGCUCGUCGGCAGACCCGGAAUAAUGGAGGGACACUCUCCUCCGGCUUACCCAACACACCGGCCCCUCGAAAGCGCCGGAACUAGGUGCCACAAACUUCAGCAUUACUUUAUCCAAAAGCAGGUCUUAUGCGUCAACCACUUAACCCAUCCGACUCAAACUAUCUGGGAACAUCUCACUCCUCUUCCGGCGAGUCAACUGGAACUCAGAUUCCGAUUUUCAAAGUUGCUCCUGGGUAAGAAAUAUUUAACCACUUGAAAUUCCAUGCUGAUUGAUAUGCUGACAUCUUUGUAUUUUUUAUUUUCAGUGGCGUGGCCAAACCCAGCAAGAAGGCAAAAAUGAACAAGCCGGCUGAAGAUUCCAACCCUUCUAAGCUGGAGAGAAGCUCUCAUCAAACUGCUGAGGCUACCGUUGAUGACCCGCCCAGUCCCAUCAAGCCUAUUGAAGAGAAGGCUGAUGAUGUCGUCAAUACUGGACUUGGUUAUAUGGCGUCGGCCAACCCCACUGCCUUAUCCAAGCACAACGCCAAAGAAGAAUUUGCUGCUGUUGAUAAUGGCAAGUGGAAGGUGGACUUGGACAGCUAUGCCCAGUUCAGCGCCCAAGAGAUUCACUCCGGUUAUUUAAACCGCCUUCACACCAGCCGUGACUUUGAAGCCGGCCUGGUCAACCUGAUGAAGGAUAUAUAUAUAUAUAUAUAUAUAUAUAUAUAUAUCUGUCAGCAUCCAAGUCUACUGGAUAUGAUAAACUUGAAUAUGCUGUAGACUGUAAACAUUCUUGUUGAACUUGAUAGCCAUGUCAUAACCUGCUAGAACUACAGAAUCAACAAGUAGCCCCCAAGGGCUGGCUUAAGCUGUAUAGCUAAAGCCGGGUCUUCAAAAUAUACCUUUUAAUUUCACAUAUAUGGCUCGCUAGGGCCGACCUAAACUGGCAAGUUAAACCGGAACUUCAAGUAAUAAUGAUCAAGUUUGCACUUGUAGCCCCCAAGGGCCGGCUUAAUCAUCAUGAAUAAGCUGGGACUUAUCACCAUUACUGUGAAUAAAACCCAGCUACAUAGACCCCAUGAGUCGUCUAUGGUCAUAGCAGCAUAGCCGGGUCAUCAUAGAAUUUUCAUAAAAAAGAGAGCAAUAUGCACUAGCCUUCAAAUGCCAAGUAAUAUACUUGUAUUGUGCCUGGGACUUCAGAUAAGAUGAUCAUAAUACUCCCUAUCUUUGUGUUGUAUAGGCUGAGCUUAAUAUGAAAGAUCCCAAGUCGCUGAUCUUCGUCAGAACAUCUCCACUCAGCAAGCUACAACGUCAAAGGCUCAGACAGAUUUGGAAACUGCUUUGGAAGAGAUGGAAAAGAUGAAGAAGGACUUCAAGGCUGACAGGAGCAACUAGGACACUGAAAAGGCAUCUCUAGUUAAAAGAGCGGAAGAAGCUGAAGCUGCCCUUAAGCCGGUGACUGAAGAACUGUCCGGCUUAAAACGCCAGAUCAGUAACAUGACAACUGCUAUCUUCGAUAAAUAACACUAUUUGUUGAUCAUUCCUUCAUAACAUAUAUCAAUCUCUUUCCCGGUUUAUCAAUCUCAUUUGCUGAUAUAGGCCCUAGAAGCUCAACUUCGGUUAAGAUAUGUGCAAAAAGCUUAAAGCCACGUACACUUUGGUGGAACAGUUAUAUACUGGUGCUCAACGGGUCAUAUCUGCCGCUUCACAUAAAAAGCAACCUCCUUCACUUAUCAAAGAAGUAUUGGAGAAACUGUCAGUGAUGCCCCAGAGGCUUGAUGAUCUGAAGCUGUCAGCGGCAAGAGCCAGCGCCAUGACCGCCCUGAGCCGGGCAAAGGCCUGGCAAGCAGAUCUUGAUCCAGAAGAAUUAGCCAAUGGCUGCCCAAGCGUCAAAGAGGACGGGUCUGCUUUCAGUGCUGCUGACUUUGCCCAAAUAGGAAGAGCAAUGCGUCCAUUAGCAAGUAAGCUGGCUGAAGAAAUAGAUCUAUCCCAAUACCAGGCGGCUUAUGAUGCUGAAAAUAAGAAGGUCAAAGCGCCGGUUCAUGAAGCUAAGGACCUUAUUCUGCCAAUUCAUAAGCACACAUUUGCCCCUGAUAUUGACCCAUCAACACUUAUUGAUGACAAGUCUGUGUUCAAAGCUUUGACUGGGAUCGAUUGGUCAUCGCCUAACUUCCAGACAACAGAGGAAGAAGAAGAGCCAGCACAGGAUGACCCGGAAGCCUCGACCCGCCAAGACUAGAAGUCUUAAUUCAUGAGCCGGUUUACCAGUCAUAGCAUUUGGAUGUUGUGUGUCUCAAAAAAACUUAUUAUUUUGCGUCCACAUGAUGCCUUGUAAUAGGCUAGUUGAAAAAACCAUGAUCGCCACACCAUCGUGCGUGUUUAUUUGCAUAACACUUAUGAACCGCUAGUCUAUUAUUUGAAGAUAUGCCGCUUAUGCUUAUAAUGUCAUCCAUUAUGCAGACCAUGUUUAUCAUUUUUCCUGCACAUAAGUAGAUAACAGGUGCUCUGGCGGUUUACCCCAGGGCGGGUCAUAAUGCCGCAUAUAAAAUCCACUGGUGAAUGAAUAGUCCAUAACCAGGGCGGGUUUAUCAAAACCUCAUAUAAUCAUAACAAAAUAAAUAUCAUACCAGUGAUAUUUGUUCAUACUGCCGGCUUACCACAUGACAUGCAGUAAGCGUAACAACCCAAAGACUUAGAGCACAACACCCUAUAUAAUUUAUUCACGCUACCGGCUUACAACACCAUAUGCAGCAAACGUAACAUCCCAAAGACUUAGAACACAUAACUCCAAGCGCAAACUCAAAACUCACUGGCGACUUGUCGUCCAAAGCCAGGCUGGGUUAUCAAAACUCCGGAUAAAUUCAAAUAUGAAUCAUAAGGAUCAAGGCAACAUGGCCUGAACCAAUUUUAAACCAUAUAUCAAUAUGGUACAAAAAUAUAAAACCAAACAAUGUUCAAAACAAAUAACAAAAAAUCAAGGCUUUCAUAGGCGGCCAAGCCUCAACAUCAAGUGCAUUUCAUGGGUGGCACAGCCACGAAGUUAAUCCUUCAUUCAAACCUGUAAGCCGGGCCUCACAUGACUAACCGCCAUUCUAACCUUGAUAAGUUCAGGGUCUUAAUAAGAUUGACUGUCAACAGUUCGGUGGGUCAUUCUGGGAUUACCUGGGCGGAGUGGCAGACGUACAAGGCAGGAUCAACUGAAAUUUUUGGUGUGUACACGUGGCGUUUCAAGCCAAUCAAAAGGGUUAUCAAAGCUAUGUUCAAUGAACCGGGAGCCCCCAAAUGAUAUAUUUUAAGCCGUUAAGGCAGGGUGCCCAUGUUUGAGCUGUGCUCUUCACCAGACUCUCUUUGGCUCCUUAACCCGGGCAGCAAGCCCCCAAGUGGGUUGUAGCAAUGGCGUUCAAGCCGAAUCAAUAGGGUAGUCACAGCUAUGCUCAACGAGCAGGAAGCCCCCAAGUUUUUUGUAAUCAAGGUGUACAAGCCAGAUCAAGAGGGUAGUCAUAGCUAUGCUCAAUGAGCAGGAAGCCCCCAAGUGAUCUUAUGAAGUGACAAUAAAGACUCAUAUUCUCAGAAAUGAAACGAGAGAGGCCCUGAAUUAUCAGGGAUGCCGGCUUUAUUAUACCAAUCAUAAUAUAUACAUUGAUAGAAGUAUGUGUAUCACAAGAACCGGUGGCUCAGGUAUAAUAAUGAUGAAGAUGAGCAAUAUUCCACGGCCGAUGGCUCUUUUCCUCCGACGUGCGUGAGUCCUUGUGGUCUCGAACAUCGAUAAGGUAGUAUGACCCGUUGUUCAAAUUUUUGCUGACCAUGAAGGGGCCUUGCCAAGGUGGGGAUAGCUUGUGUAUGUCAGUUUGAUCCUGGAUGAGCCGGAGCACCAAAUCUCCUUCUUGAAAGGCCCUAGUUUUAACCCGGCGGCUAUGAUAAUGACGCACAUCUUGCUGGCAAAUUGCCAAACGAUCCGCCGCAAGGUCACGCUCCUCAUCCACAGGUCAAGAGCAUCUUGACGUGCUUGUUCAUUAUCAACUUCAACAUAAGCUGCCACACGGGGCGAGUCGUGACGGAUGUCACUUGGGAGAACCGCCUCUGCUCUGUAAACCAUCAAGAAAGGCGUGUAACCCGUAGAUUUGUUGGGGGUAGUAUUGAUACUCCAUAACACUAAGGGAAAUUCCUCCACCCAACAACCCGGCGUCCUCUAUAAAGGGACCAUAAGCCAGGGCUUUAUGCCUCUAAAAAUUUCUUGAUUGGCUCUUUCAACUUGGCCAUUGGAUUGGGGGUGAGCCACUGGUGAUACAUCAAGACGAAUAUGCUCUCGUUGACAAAAUUCUUUCAUACCAUCUUGGAUAGAUUAGUGCCAUUAUCAGUUAUAAUGCUGUGAGGGUAGCCAAAACAGAAAAUCACCUUUUUUGAUGAAUUGAACCGUCGUCACCGCGUCACACUUGCUGACCGGCUCUGCCUCAACCCACUUUGUGAACUUGUCAACCGCCACCAAAAGGUGGGUCUUUUUAUCCUUGGAUCUUUUAAAAGGUCCAACCAUAUCCAGCCCCCAGACUGCAGACGGCCAAGUAACUGAAUCAUCCUCAAUUCUUGAGCCGGCACAUGAGCUCGUCUUGAAAAUUUCUGACAACCAUCACAUUUACUGACCAAAUCCUCUGCAUCAGCAUAAGCCGUCAGCCAAUAAAACCCAUGACGAAAAGCCUUGGCUACGAGAGACUUAGAACCGGCAUCAUGACCACAAUCUCAUUCAUGAAUCUCCCAUAGAAUCUCACGACCUUCCUCAGGAGAAACACAACGUUGAAACACCCAUCACUACAAAAAAGUACACUUCCGUGAUGAUACGUGUUUGUCACAGUAGGUCACGUUUUCUGUCAUGCAUGUACAUCCAUGACAAAUUUAUGACAGAAUCAAGAUAGUCAUACCUGUGUUGUGUAGAAGUGUUCCAUGACAUUACCAAAAUUAUCAUCACGGAAGUGUCCAUUUCCAUGACGAUAAAUCGCGCGUCACAGAAGUGCUUCCGUUAAGGGUGACCGACACGUGGCAUCCACCGUAACGGAACGCCGUUAAGCUAUCGGGUCCAGUUUUGGAUCCGAUAACCCGUUAACAGCCUCGACCAAUGGGGAUUUUCCACGUGUAAAAUCAUCAUUGGCUGGAGGAAACACGUGUCGGCUCACCGUUGGGACAGAUGUCAUCCACUCAUUGGACCCAAAGCGCCUAUGAUACGUCGACACGUGGCACGGUCCAACAGAGGCCCAUUCCUGUGAAAAGGCCGGCCCGUGUGACUUGGUCAAACAGUGGCGGGCCGGCCCACGGCAAGCCUGUUAAUGACAUGUUCACAUAUAGCCCAUUUACAGCCCGCUAUCCCAGGGCCCAUUUACGGCCUAUCCGAAUUAGGCCCAGUAGCGUCAUCUGGGCCGUCCAAUAUAAUUCCAGCCCGUUUUAACUUCUGGCCCAUGUAUGGCCCAUGACGUCUUUCGGCCCAUAUGAGGCCCUUAGUAACCCUCGGCCCCUUAACGACCCGUGGUAAAACUGGCCUGUAAUGAACAGUGUAUCACUUUAUACCCAUUAACGGCCCAUUGAUCCGUUGGGCCGUUUCCAGCCCAUGAUAUCUUUCGGCCUUCUCAGGGCCCAUUUAUUCUUGGGCUCAUUUCCAGCAUUCGGUUACUUACGGCCCGUUACUGUUAUUUUCUGCUUGUGGGCCAAAUUCAGUCUGUGGUUACAGUCGGCCCGUUUGUGGCCCGUUAAUACGUUGGGCCGUCUUCAUGUCGGAAAAAACCCGUUGGGCUGUUUUCAUAGAGUUAUCAAAUACGGCCGAUAAAUGGCCCGUUAUUGUCCACGAAUAGUAUGGCCCAUGAUUGGUGGAAUGAUGAUAUGCCCCGUAGAAGGCCCAUGUAUCCUACGACCCGUAAAAGGCCCAUGGAUCGUACGACCCGUAGAAGGCCCAUGGAUCGUACGGCCCGUAUAGAAGGCCAAUGGAUCCUAUGGCCCAUAGAAGGCCCAUGGAUCCUACGACCCAUAGAAGGCCCAUGGAUCAUAUGGUCCGCAGGAGGCCCAUGGUUACAACAGUCCGUGUGUUGCCAUGAUUAUUUUGGCCUAGUUUCCAAAAAUAGGUUAUUGUGGCCACUAGAAAAACACAGAAAAAGAACUGCAGUGACUACAAGCAAACAACUAAACAAGACAAUAAGGAAAUAAAUAAGCAAGCAAUUAAUGCGAUCCUAUUACCGCUAUUACACAUAUUACAUCCACUGGGCAUCAAAGUUCGACACCAGUGCAAAUAUAGGGAACAAAGCAGCAUAUUACAUACACUGGCCGUCAAAAUUGCUCACCAGUGCAAACAAACACGACAGCAAAACAAGAGCAUAACUGAAACAACUUCAGAAGAGCUCAAGAAAUGUGGUAUCCACCAUGCUGGCAAUAAGCUUAGCAAGCUUAUUAGCUUUGUCCUGUUUAGAGCUAAAGUCCUCCAACGCUUGCUGUUCCAGCAGAAAGUAUGCAGCUGAAUGCUCUAGGGACUUCCGCGGUCCUUCCGCUUCUUGUCGCAGCACAGGUGAUCGAUGUCUUUCAGCUUGUAGUUGAGACUCAAGAAACCAAACUGAUUUAGACAGUGAGUUUGAAUAGCUUGUGCAAGCGGUAGUGGCCAGUAACUCCAACACUAAACCAAGACAGGACUUUGGGGUUGUCUCACUUUGAUCAAGAUAGUCUUCCUUAGCUAUUUUAUCUGCUUUGUUGGAGACCAACAAGGAUGUGUCACUAUCCUGAACCUUAUCUGCAUUACUUCCUUUACCAUUGCUUAAUAAGGCACUCUUCCCCAAUAUUCUUUCAGCAUUCUAAAAGAAGAAACAAGCAGGCACAUAAUAGUUUAGCAUGUACUUGUAUAUGAAACUCAUUUCGGUGAACCAGUUCAUUAGUAAGGUGGACAGGAUUAAACUACCAAGUCUUCUAUUGCCAAGUACUAGUACAUAAUAAAAGCAUCAAACAAACAUAUAUCUAUGUCCUAUGGUCACUGCAUUGUCUUGCCAAAUCAAAAUAGAGACACUGUUCAAAUCAUAUCAGUUCAAGACAAAGCAGCAGUGAAAUUACAAAGCGUGGGAAACUACACGGCACAACAAGAUUUCAGAUGGGUGCCACGGGUCUACAUGUACAACAACACUAUUGGUUCUGUUGUGAUGCUAGUAAUGUGCAUGAUAUGAGAAGUCAACUGUAUACACAAUUGAAAUUGAAAUCAACAGAGCUAUUGAUAAGAGCAAGCCUGUUAAAGAAACAUGCGUGAACAUACCUGCUGUGCCAUUGCAGUUUCGAUUGGAUCCUUCAAUUUAAAAUUAAUUUUGUAUUGAGUAAAUACAGCGAUUCAAGAGCAAAACAGUAUGCACGAUAUCAAUCAUAGUUAAAAAAAGGCACGCCUAAGCGAGCGCUUAAGCGUGCCUAGGCUCUAGGCGUUGGCGAAAUGCAUUGCGCAUAACUACGCUUAAUCUGUGCAUAACUGCGCAUAAGCAUGCGCUUUGGUCAGUAAAGCGCAAGGCGGUGGCAAAACGCACAAUUAACGCCUAGCGCUUUUUUGAACUAUGAUAUCAAUGGAAUCUUAAAUUAGAACAGUUGUUCUUCAGGUUUAGGCACUUGUUCUACAUGAACAGAGUAUAGUAAGACGCAAGAAUAUAGUACUUAAAAAUUAGAAAAUGAGCUCAUAGACCUUACCACAUUCUUGGUUCGGGACCAGUACAGAACAAAGCGUUCCCAGUCAUCGUGCAGUAAAUGUGUCUCAGGAGAACGUAAGGAAAUUUGAUGAGUUUCUUUGCCGGUGAUGUACAUUUUAUUUAGGUAAUUUCGAUACUGCCACUAAGCAUUCUUGAAAAUAGCAGAGGUAUUAGCACAGGUUACCUCAUUCUGAGUUUCCAAAUCGGUCCUUCUCUAUAGAGAAAAGUAGAAAAAUUUGCUGCAUUAUAACCAUCAUGGAGGUAGGAUGUAUGGGACAAAGCAAAGUAAUUGCCAUGAAUAACAUUACUUACACAUAACUCCUCGACAAACACCUGCAACUGGCAUUUUCCUUCAUCUUCAGUAUAAUAUUUCCAAGAUGGGAAGAUACGCACAUACAAUUUUGGUACGUCUCCAAUAUAUCUACUUUUCCAAACAUUUUUGCCCUUAUUUUGGACUCUAACUUGCAUGAUCUAUUAUAUACUUUAAACUUGUGCGUUUGCGAUGGCAGCGGCAAAGUCGCAUGUCGAGGCACAAGAGCACGUGGACGCAAGGUCGCUAACUCGCCGUCGUGGCCGCGUGAUCAAGACGAGUCAAUGGGCAAACACGAUUAGAAGUUUCGGCCUAGCAGAACACACAGGUGCUUUCAUCCAUCUCUCCCUCUUGCCUACGCACUAAGAUGAUUGGUUCACAUAAGCUAAUUGAUUCUUCACAGGUACCAGCUACUACUAGUGUAUGAGCAACCAGCUAGCCUAAUAUAUCAUAUAUGCAAACAUUUUUUGAACAUAUAUGCAUGUGUUUUAAGAGAUAUUUUUCUCUUGGGGAUAUAUGUAUUUAUUUUAACGUUGUAGAUGGAAUAUGCAUCAUGCAAGUUGUGAUAUAACUACCAAAAAAUGCCAACGGGCCGACCACCAUGGUGGACGGUUUCAAAAUACAAUUUUCCACAAAGCGAAAAUAUUCAAAUUUUUUGUGAACACAGAUACACAUGUAUACGACGUAUAUGCAAAAUUUCAUAACAUCAUACUUUCAUAUGUGGCGUACACAAAAAAGACAAAAUACAUAUUUCUAAAUGGGCCAGCAUAUUAUGUUAUUGUGCUUGAUUUUUUUUGUACAGCCUACAAGUCACAACUUUUUCAAACGAAUUUUCACACGUUCAUGCGGAACACAUAUACAUGUACCCCACGGCUUUUUUCUAACUUUUAAAUGGGCUUUUUGAUUUUUUUUGAAAAUAAUCCCAACCAUGGUGGUCGAGCACCAAAAGUCCGCACUUGAUAACUACCUACUUUUCACAUGGAUGGCCAAUGCGUUGGACUUUUUUAUAUGGAUUCCAUUUGAUUAAGAAUCAAUGAUUAUAUGGCGUUUAGAUACAAUUUUGAACAUCUCAUGAUUAUAAUAUGCUAUAACAAAGGUCUACUGAAUGAAAUUCCUGAUGUUUUGCUUUUAUGCAAUAAAUUUUAGCAUGUUUUCCUUUUGUCGGGUCAACCCAUAUUGUAAAUUUCUAUACAUGAUCCACCAAAUAGAUGGCAUCCUUUGGGGGAGAUGUUCUAGCUUGUUUUUUCUUAACCAACAAUGACUUUUAAUGUAUAAUAGGUGCAUGUACCGAUGCUAAUGCAGUGGCAAGCAAAACCUUUUAAUUUCGACAAGGGGCAAGCGAUUAGUACACAAAACGAUAUCAAACAAGACCUUGCAUGUUGUAUUAUUGUUUCAAGUUCUCGCAUAUUAUAGGAUCGCUUCCAAACAUAGUAAUAUUCCCUUGAUAGACUAUAAGGAAGAAAUGUGUGCGACUUUCAUCUAUAUCUAUACUACUAUUAAAAGACCAAACGUUACUUCCCCUACAUCCACACGAAAAAGUGCACACAGGAUUACCCAAGACGUCCGAUCAUACCCACUAACUACCAUCCAACAGUCCACGUUUCAUCAACCAUAAUACAAAUAGAUCGACGGUUCAAACGAAAUGUUCUGCCGGCAGACUCCCACGUCCAGGCUCCUACACAUCCCAACGAUAACAACUCCAUCCAGCGAAUAAUGCCCUAUCUCCGCAAUCAACGCCACCACGCCACGAACCUCGCGUCGGCACGCCGUCCCGCGGUCCUCGCUCCGCCCCGCCCCGCCCGGCCGCCCUUGGCACGCGACCCUCGCCCCUGGUCUCCGCGACGUCCUCGACCCGCCUUGCAGCCCUAACUCUCCUCAAUACGCCGUCGUCACGACGCCGCCCUCGCCCCCGGUGUCAGCGACGUCCUCGACCCGGCGCGCUGCCUUACCUCCGGUGUCAUCACCCCUGUAGCCAGCAACAUCUCCAAUACAUAUGACUACUGCCAAACCUGGCAGUGCACAAGUUAGAUCAACUGAAUUUGCACGUCUUUUGGUCAGACAUAAGACAAAAGGAAUUGCUCUUUUAAUCUGACAACGUGUAAUUUUAUACUUACAGUACAUCAUGAUUUGCAUAGCACACUAAGUUCAGGCAGGGUUCAGAAGUGUUUCAUAACAGGAGCCAUUGAGAAUACAGUAUGUCCGGAUCUCAGCGUAGUGGGGUACGUACUCCCUUUCAGGACCUGACAAACAACGACAGUUCAGGUAAAUACAUAUAUCACCUACUCUUACCUACUAAGAUCAUGUAAGUACCGACUAUGUUAUUGCGUCGCAGGUCAAAAAACAGAUCCAAAAGAACUAAAGAGACAGAGGGAAAGGAAGAGGUAUGCACUAAACAGGGAUGCAAUAUUGAAAAAAAGAAAGGAGUCUAUAUCUGUCUAUAUCUAUACUACUAUUAAAAGACCAAACGUUACUUCCCCUACAUCCACACGAAAAAGUGCACACAGGAUUACCCAAGACGUCCGAUCAUACCCACUAACUACCAUCCAAUAGUCCACGUUUCAUCAACCAUAAUACAAAUAGAUCGACGGUUCAAACGAAAUGUUCUGCCGGCAGACUCCCACGUCCAGGCUCCUACACAUCCCAACGAUAACAACUCCAUCCAGCGAAUAAUGCCCUAUCUCCGCAAUCAACGCCACCACGCCACGAACCUCGCGUCGGCACGCCGUCCCGCGGUCCUCGCUCCGCCCCGCCCCGCCCGGCCGCCCUUGGCACGCGACCCUCGCCCCUGGUCUCCGCGACGUCCUCGACCCGCCUUGCAGCCCUAACUCUCCUCAAUACGCCGUCGUCACGACGCCGCCCUCGCCCCCGGUGUCAGCGACGUCCUCGACCCGGCGCGCUGCCUUACCUCCGGUGUCAUCACCCCUGUAGCCAGCAACAUCUCCAAUACAUAUGACUACUGCCAAACCUGGCAGUGCACAAGUUAGAUCAACUGAA